GACGAACGCUGGCGGCGUGCUUAACACAUGCAAGUCGAACGGAAAGGCCCUGCUUUUGUGGGGUGCUCGAGUGGCGAACGGGUGAGUAACACGUGAGUAACCUGCCCUUGACUUUGGGAUAACUUCAGGAAACUGGGGCUAAUACCGGAUAUGAGCUCCUGCUGCAUGGUGGGGGUUGGAAAGUUUCGGCGGUUGGGGAUGGACUCGCGGCUUAUCAGCUUGUUGGUGGGGUAGUGGCUUACCAAGGCUUUGACGGGUAGCCGGCCUGAGAGGGUGACCGGCCACAUUGGGACUGAGAUACGGCCCAGACUCCUACGGGAGGCAGCAGUGGGGAAUAUUGCACAAUGGGCGGAAGCCUGAUGCAGCAACGCCGCGUGCGGGAUGACGGCCUUCGGGUUGUAACCCGCUUUCGCCUGUGACGAAGCGUGAGUGACGGUAAUGGGUAAAGAAGCAACGGCUAACUACGUG
rnacentral:rRNA from 1 species